GGAAGUGGUGCCAGGAAUAGCCCGGCAGAUCCGCCUGCAGCCCGGAGCGCUCCCUCCCGCCUCGGCCAGGGCGGGCUGCGGCUCCCGGGCCUCCGCCUCUCUCUCCCCCGUGCAACACCAGCCCCUCCGGCACUGUCAGGGUGACGGUGAUGAUCCUUUCCAAAAAGAGGGAGAGAAAUGACCUGCCUUAAGAUAAAUGCGUGAAGCGGGCGCCCCUUGGCCGCUGGAAUAUCUCUAUCUGUCUUUAUAUAUAAAGAAGCACCGCGAGCCACCUCACUCCAGGCAAGCCCUUAGCAAAGGAGCAACAAGAGCGCCCGGCGGGAUCAGCAACAACAACAACAACAAGGGCACCGGGAGGGCUUCCCUCCUUCCUCCUCGGUGACUUCCCAGUUCUGUCCUAAUAUGCUUACGGAGUCUGAAAAAUGCAACUCUAAUAUACAAGAAAUAUCAGCCUGCACACAAAAAAUUGUAAAGAAUAUCUCUGUUCUUAAAAAUGUGGGACCCUCUUCUGAUAUGUGAUCUACAGCAAGCUACUUUGAAUCGUACGAUGACAAUGUUAUCACUGCCACAUCUCUGGGAACCAGUUAUUCAUAAGUAUACGGUGGAAGAGAGAGUCAACAGCCAUAUUUGCUGGAGCGGUGAACCAAAUUGCCUUGACUGGAACCAUUACUCACUUGCACAUUUGACAGCAGCAGCCAGCUUGAGGAUCCUAGUUACAGUGAUCUGUUCAACUUCUCGGCCGUUCCGCCCCUUGCUUGGGUCUGCCAAAGGAAGGUGUCCCAUCUUCUCCACCAGAUUUCCGCUCGAGCUUUCCUGGGUAGAGCAGUGCCUCCACAGAUGCCGGUGCGUUACACAAGCUGGGGCGCAGAGAGGCCGAGACGAGGAUACGUGAUCAACAGAUGAAGCAGCAGAAUGUUAAUAAUACAAGACACCUAAUUGGACCUGCCCUUUCGCCCAGAAGUGAGGACAUAUGUCAGCACGCAGCAGGCGCCAGGCCUGUGGCAACCUGCUCCCACCUCCUACAGGUCUUCACGAGGAAAAAAUUGCAUUAUGAGCUGAGCUGCUUGCCUGCUGUAAUUGCCAAUAAAGC
rnacentral:lncRNA from 1 species